AGGUAAUGAAUGCAUACCUCUCCAAACUUGUCAUCAAACACAAUAAGAAAGGAGGGAAGCAGGCAAUGUUCAUUGACUCAUACCCAAUGACAAAUAUUUGGAACCGUAAAACAACACGAUUGAAGUUUAAUCCAUCAUCAUCAUUAUGGGUCAUUCUUGGAGCAGUUCAUGAGCCAGGCCAUUGGAUAUUUGCAGCCAUUUUCCCAUUGGAACGGCGGAGCCUUGUUCUUGACUCACUUGGCAACGCAGCAUCCAAAGUAAAACAGUGUUUGGAGUCCACAAGGUCAUUCAUGAGACUAAAGGGGUUCAAUGUGUCUAGGUGGACAGCAAACACAGUAAAACACAGCCUUUAGAAAGAUGCCACGUCUUGUGGAAUAUUUGUCUUGAAAUAUGCUGAAAAGAUCCUGGCAGAGAAGGCUCCAGUCUUUAUCAAUUCAGCCAAGGCAGUGGAGGGCUACAGAAAGGAGGUGGCUGUCACAUUGCUGAAUGAGACUGAUGAUCUCAGUGAGCUCUGCUUCUAUUGUGGAUUGAAAGAAGUGAUAGAGGAGAGAGAGGGAGGCUUACCAAGCACCAACACUGACUGGGUAAGAUGUUAGGAUAGGUUUUUGCAGUGAGAGCUCAGGCAGAGCUUGCGUUCAAGCCUCAGAUAUUAGACAGAGGUUAGACCGUAAACAAUGGCAACCGAGAGCAGUCUAAAUUUCUGUGAACUAUGUUUUUUGAGUCUUAAUUUUAAACAGCUGCUGAACAAAGGUUUCACACAGAUCCUUAAAACAUGUUAAAAGGCAUUAAGAAAACGUAUGGUCAAUGUUGAUUUUAAACUUGA